UACGUAGGGACCAAGCGUUGUUCGGAUUUACUGGGCGUAAAGGGCGCGUAGGCGGCAAUUCAAGUCAGUUGUGAAAUCUCCGAGCUUAACUCGGAACGGUCAACUGAUGCUGUUUUGCUAGAGUACAGAAGGGGCAAUCGGAAUUCUUGGUGUAGCGGUGAAAUGCGUAGAUAUCAAGAGGAACACCUGAGGUGAAGACGGGUUGCUGGGCUGACACUGACGCUGAAGCGCGAAAGCUAGGGGAGCAAACGGG
rnacentral:rRNA from 1 species